GCCGGGGUGCCCGAGCGGACCAAGGGGCUGGCCUUGAGAGCCAGUAGGGCUUCACCCUGCGCGGGUUCAAAUCCCGCCCCCGGCG
rnacentral:tRNA from 1 species